CUCUUUUAGCUUACAGUUAACAAAACCUCAGUCAUAGGAUGUCUGUUAAAGGAGCUCUUCUCCAUUCCCGACUUUUUUUGGAAUGUGUGACUGUAAUUAAGAACCUUUAAAUCUAAUUGUGCACGCUGAAGAGAGAAUGUAGGAGAUGGACAACAAGAGGAAGACAGAGAGCAAGAAUUUAACGUUUAGUCAGUACCUCAGACCUGAUGGAUAACAGGGUGUAAGAGGACAGUUUUGGCUGGGCAAGGCCUUGGACUUAGCCUUGGCUAGAGGGGGAAGAUGUCACCCCUCCCUCAAAAAUACCCAUUUCCAUCUGAGUGAAGAAACGUCCUGGAAGAGAACUAGGUAUCCUAAUCUCCUCCUAGUGAGUCCGAAAGAAGUCUGAAGACCUGCCGUGGCCCUCACUGAAAGGAUGGCCAAAGACAUUGAGGAAUGAUAGAAGAAAGGAAUGGGGGUCCUUGAGAGCAAAGUCACAAUAAAGGUGAGGGGCGUUUGAGCUGGUGAUCCAACACAGCAGGGUGUAUUGGUGACAGUGCUCUGGGCCCCGCCAGAGACUGCUGCUGAAACCCCUGUGAUCCAGGUCCUCUGGGUAUUGCUUUGGGGAAAACAGCUCCGUGUAUGAACUAAAAGAACUGUGACUCAGGGGCCUGUUUUGCCGUGAGAUUUCCCCACAAGGGGCAAGGAAGGGGAGACCAAGGUGAGGAACAAGGUGAAGAAAGGGAGAUCAUCCCUCGUGCCUCAGGGAGCCACCUGGAUAGGUGAGCCCUAUCAAGUAGCCACGUCUGGCAGUGACACGGCUCUGAGGUAAUUACCCACCCCUGCCACCUCCCACAAUUCGCUUUUAUUCAUCUUCCACUCUUGUACAAUCAGACCAUUCUUGGGGGGAGGGGUCACUGAGAGAGCUAAGAUUGGGGAAAGAUGAGCAUUGAAUAGAUAUCAAGGGUGCAUAGGCAAUGCUGAACCAAGAGAGAAACUAGAGGGAUGAUAACCCCAGUCAACUAUAAGACCCUUACUCGGUGCUCAGGAUUGUCCUUAGUGUUAGGAUUAGGGUAGAGCGAGUACAUAAAAUAUUGAUAUGGUUGCUACUCUCAGGGUCCUCAAAAUGUACGUGGGAAGAAAGAACACACUCUUGAGAAAUAGCUGGGUCAAAAUGAUAAAAUGCCAAAAUGUGUGACAUAGAAUAUGGUAAGUGCUAGAGGAAGUGAGAGGAGAGAGGGAGCCCUGGAGGCCUGAAGGUGAUCACAAAAUGUGCUUGACAAUCUGGCACGUAAGCUACAGCCUGAAGUAUGGUCAGAUCUUGAUCAGUGGAGAGGAGAAAGCCAGGCAGAGGGAAUGACAGCAACAAAGGUGUGGGCAGGAAGGAACAUGGUGGUGUCACUGGAUGGGUUGCUGGUCCCAUGGAGGAGUAGAGAGACUAAGGCAGGGGGCACCUGGGUGGUUCAGUCGGUUAAACGGCCAACCUUGGCUCAGGUCAUGAUCUCAUGGUUCGUGAGUUCAAGCUCUGCAUUGGGCUCUCUGCUGUCAGCAAAGAGCCUGCUUCAGAUCCUCUGUAUCUCUCUCUACCCUCCUCCCCUGCUCAUGCUUUUCUCUCUCUCUCUCUCUCUCUCUCUCAAAAAUAAACAUUAAAAAAAAGACUAAAGCAGCAAGAGCAAAGCUAUAUCAAAUGAUAAAGUUCUAGGGUAGUAGAUGUGGACAAUGACUUGAGAAGCAAGACUGGAGAAGUAAGCUGUGUCAGGAGAUGGUUAUCUAUAUAGAAACUCUCAUGUGUCUCCACAUCCAAGUAUUAAGAACUAAAUUCUUUCAGGAUGCCAGGGUGGCUCAGUCGGUUAAGCGUCCGACUUUGGCUCAGGUCAUGAUCUCACUGCUCGUGGAUUUGAGCCCCACAUCGGCCUCUGUGCUGACAGCUCAGAGCCUGCAGUUUGCUUCAGAUUCUGUGUCUUCUCUCUCUGAGGCCCCUUCCCCACUUACGCUCGCUCUCUCUCUCUCUCUCUCUCUCUCAAAAAUUAAUAAACAUUAAAAUUUUUUUUAAAAAAAGAACUAAAUUCUUCCAGAUUCUCUUUUCAUGUUUGUAGAAGCCAAUGUCCUUAGAAAGUUAGAGACAGGACUUUCUCUGGAGCAGAUUUAAUUAUGGGAAAGUAAAGGCAGAGAUGUCUCCCUUCCCUCCUUGGACCAGAUUUGUUUCCCUUCCAGAGUGAAAAAAAAAAAAAAAAGACUUAUUAAAGUUUUAUCUCCUGGGGCACCUGGGUGGUCAAUUGGUUGAGUGUCUGACUUUGGCUCAGGUCAGGAUCUCGAGGUUCGUGAGUUCAGGCCCUGCGACGGGCUCUGUGCUGACACCUCAGAGCCUGGGGCCUACUUCAGAUUCUGUGCCUUCCUUUUUCUCUGCCCCUCUCCCACUCACGCUCUGUCUCUCUCUCUCUCUCUCUUUCUCAGAAAUCAAUAAACAUUGAAAAAAAUGUUUAAGUUUUAUCUCCUUUAUUAAUAUAGCUAAAGGAGUUCAUUCUAGAAGGAUACAAUGAGGUCAUAGGGUAAGCAGCAGGCCUGAAAUAGCUUCUGUGGGGAGUGCACAAGAGAAUAAACCACAAAUGAGUAAAGGAACCAAGAAUGCUUGUUUCCACACAGACCCAACUUAUGGAGGAAGGGGGAUGGACAUUUUCAGACUCUUCCCGUCCCGGCCACUCAGUACCUUCAAGGUUCCUGGACCUACAUAGGUCGAGCUCCACUGAGCCAGAGGCUGUGGGAGUCCUAAAGAGUUUGGUCUGCCCAGGGGAGACAGCCCAUGUCUCCAAACCCCCUAGCCCUGCCCGAUCCAGUCACUGGGAAACUCAAAUCGGCAUGGACAAGUGAGGCUUGCACCACAGCUGACUCUCGGGUUUGGGGUUGCUGUCUGUGACUGGCUCCUCUUUGGUGGGCAGAGAGGUUUUAGUCAGGGUGAGGGUGGGGGAGGCAGUCUUUUUCCCUUUCUGCCCCUUUUGCUCCCCCUUGCUCUCCUUCCAGGAAGACAUUAGUCUGGCCUGUGCGGUCUCAGAGCUCCCCUCUACCCACUACCACUCACCUCAGGAGUGCCGGGACAGGCCAGUGGCCUGCUUCUAGAGACAAAAUCUGCUGCUUUAGAGAAACUUCCAGCUUCCCCCCACCAGAGAAGAGAACCAAUGUGAUUAUAUAUUGACUCACAAUAUAUUGAGUGCGGACAAUGUGUCUGAUGCUAUGUUAUGCCCUUAGAGUACAUUAUCUUCUAAAAAAAAUUUUUUUUUUAUUUUAUAUUUGAGAGAGAGAGAGAUGGAGACAGAAUCCGAAGCAGGCUCCAGGCUGUCAGCACAGAGUCCAACGUAGGGUUCAAACCUACGAGCAGUGAGAUCAUGACCUGAGCCGAAGUCAGAUGCCCAACCAACUGAGCCACCCAGAUGAUGAAGCUGACCCUCAGUCACUUGACCAGUAAGUAGCAACUCCAGGACCUAACAUGCAUGGUCCUUUGGCCGGGAGAGCCCAAGCUUGAUCGAUGAAGCCAUCCUGCUCUGCGGCCUCCCCUGUGGCAUUUCCUCAUGGCCCCUGUACUUCUCUUUUGAGGCAUUUUAUAGGCUUUUAAUUGUUUAAUGAAUUACUUGAAAUUAUUUCCUUAUUAAUUCUCUUCACUGAUAGAAAGUAAGCUAUAAGAAGGCAGGGCCCACACUGAGUUUCUUUUUUAUUUUCUUUCUU